AUCCAUUUGACGAGUCCAAGAUAGGACGAAACGCGCGUCCUGGAU
rnacentral:hammerhead_ribozyme from 1 species